rnacentral:rRNA from 1 species
AUUGAACGCUGGCGGCAGGCCUAACACAUGCAAGUCGAGCGGAUGAGAAGAGCUUGCUCUUCGAUUCAGCGGCGGACGGGUGAGUAAUGCCUAGGAAUUUGCCUGGUAGUGGGGGACAACGUUUCGAAAGGAACGCUAAUACCGCAUACGUCCUACGGGAGAAAGCAGGGGACCUUCGGGCCUUGCGCUAUCAGAUGAGCCUAGGUCGGAUUAGCUAGUUGGUGAGGUAAUGGCUCACCAAGGCGACGAUCCGUAACUGGUCUGAGAGGAUGAUCAGUCACACUGGAACUGAGACACGGUCCAGACUCCUACGGGAGGCAGCAGUGGGGAAUAUUGGACAAUGGGCGAAAGCCUGAUCCAGCCAUGCCGCGUGUGUGAAGAAGGUCUUCGGAUUGUAAAGCACUUUAAGUUGGGAGGAAGGGCAGUAAGUUAAUACCUUGCUGUUUUGACGUUACCGACAGAAUAAGCACCGGCUAACUCUGUGCCAGCAGCCGCAGUAAAAC